rnacentral:rRNA from 1 species
AUUGAGAGUUUGAUCCUGGCUCAGGAUGAACGCUGGCGGCGUGGGUAAGGCAUGCAAGUCGAACGGACUAAUUUGUGAUUACAUCAAUGAUUAGUUAGUGGCAAACGGGUGAGUAACACAUUGGUAACCUACCUUGAAGACGAACACAACCCCGAGAAAUCGGGGCUAAUAUUCGAUGGUCAUGAGGGGACAAAAGUCAUUCUCAUGUAAAGUUCCAAAAGAACGCUUCAAGAGGGGCCUAUGGUCUAUCAGCUAGUUGGUGAGGUAAAAGCUCACCAAGGCUAUGACGGAUAGCGGGCGUGAGAGCGCGACCCGCCUCACUGGGACUGAGACACUGCCCAGACUUCUACGGAAGGCUGCAGUCACGAAUCUUCCCCAAUGGACGAAAGUCUGAGGGAGCGACGCCGCGUGUAGGAUGAAGGUCUUCGGAUUGUAGAAUAAGAGGUUGCUAACUCUGUGCCAGCAGCAGCGGUAAUACAGAGACCUCGAGCGUUAUCCGGAUUUAUUGGGCGUAAAGCGUCCGCAGGUGGUUUGUACAGUCAUUGGUAAAAUCUCGGAGCUCAACUCCGAAUCUGCUGAUGAUACUAACAGACUAGAGGAUGGGAGAGGUGAGCGGAAUUGCCGGUGUAGUAGUAAAAUGCGUUUAUAUCGGCAAGAACACCAGAGGCGAAGGCGGCUCACUGGAACAUUCCUGACACUAAGGGACGAAAGCGUGGGGAGCGAUACGGAUUAGAUACCCGUGUAGUCCACGCCCUAAACGAUGGAUACUAGACUUUGGCAGUAUCGACCCUGUCAGAGUCGGUCAAAAAAGCUAACGCAUUAAGUAUCCCGCCUGGGAAGUACGGCCGCAAGGCUAAAACUCAAAGGAAUAGACGGGGACCCGCACAAGCGGUGGAGCAUGUGGUUCAAUUCGACGGUAAACGAAAAACCUUACCAGGGCUUGAAAUGUAGCUGCUAAUCUCCAGAAACGGAGACUCCUUCGAGGGUGCUACACAGGUGCUGCAUGGUUGCCGUCAGCUCGUGCCGUGAGGUGUACCAUUAAGUUGGGUAACGAGCGCAACCCCCGUGUUAUGUUAUUUUUUACAUAACAGACCGCCCCUGCCUGUAGGCAUUUAAAAAAGUGCCUAGAGGCAGGGGAGGAAGGAGGGGAUGACGUCAAAUCAGCAUGGCUCUUACGUCCUGGGCCACACACGUGCUACAAUGGGGAAUAACAAUGGGUUGCCAAGUCGCGAGACGGAGCUAAUCCCAUCAAACUUCCCCCCAGUUCAGAUCGCAGUCUGCAACUCGACUGCGUGAAGUAGGAAUCGCUAGUAAACGCCGAUCAGCUAUGCGGCGUUGAAUACGUUCUCGGGUCUUGUACUCACCGCCCGUCAAGCCAAGGGAGUUGGGGACGCCUGAAGGCUGGGUUUAUCCCGGUCCAAGGCGGAAUCAGCGACAGGGGCUAAGUCGUAACAAGGCAUGUGUAGCGGAAGCUGCGCAUGGAUCACCUCCUU